UACGAAGGGGGCUAGCGUUGCUCGGAAUCACUGGGCGUAAAGGGUGCGUAGGCGGGUCUUUAAGUCAGGGGUGAAAUCCUGGAGCUCAACUCCAGAACUGCCUUUGAUACUGAGGAUCUUGAGUUCGGGAGAGGUGAGUGGAACUGCGAGUGUAGAGGUGAAAUUCGUAGAUAUUCGCAAGAACACCAGUGGCGAAGGCGGCUCACUGGCCCGUAACUGACGCUGAGGCGCGAAAGCGUGGGGAGCAAGCAGG
rnacentral:rRNA from 1 species